rnacentral:rRNA from 1 species
GUGGGGAAUCUUCCGCAAUGGACGAAAGUCUGACGGAGCGACGCCGCGUGAGUGAAGAAGGCCUUCGGGUCGUAAAGCUCUGUCAUCAGGGACGAAUGGCCGGUGGAGUGGAAAGCCACCGGAUUGACGGUACCUGAGAAGGAAGCCACGGCUAACUACGUGCCAGCAGCCGCGGUAAUACGUAGGUGGCAAGCGUUGUCCGGAAUUAUUGGGCGUAAAGCGCGCGCAGGUGGGAUCUUAAGUCCAUUUUGAAAGUUCGGAGCUCAACUCCGUGAUGGGAUGGAAACUGGGAUUCUUGAGUACCGGAGAGGAAAGCGGAAUUCCCCGUGUAGCGGUGAAAUGCGUAGAUAUGGGGAGGAACACCAGUGGCGAAGGCGGCUUUCUGGACGGUGUCUGACACUGAGGCGCGAAAGCCAGGGGAGCGAACGGGAUUAGAUACCCUAGUAGUCC